GACGAACGCUGGCGGCGUGCUUAACACAUGCAAGUCGAACGGAGUGGCGAACGGGUGAGUAACACGUUGGUGACCUGCCCUGCACUUCGGGAUAAGCCUGGGGACCAGGGUCUAAUACCGGAUAGUGGGGGAUGGGCCCGCGGCCUAUCAGCUUGUGGGUGGGGUAAUGGCCUACCAAGGCGGCGACUGGUAGCCGGCCUGAGCGGGUGGACGGCCACAUGGGGACGACGACACGGCCCAGACGCGUACGGGAGGCAGCAGUGGGAAAUAUUGCACAAGGGGCGGAAGCCUGUUGCAGCGACGUCGGGUGGGGAAUGACGGCCUGCGGGUUGUAAACACCUUUCACCAUCGACGCGGUAGAUGGAGAAGAAGCACCGGCUAACUCCGUGCCAGCAGCCGCGGUAAUAC
rnacentral:rRNA from 1 species